rnacentral:lncRNA from 1 species
AACCAUGAGGUUGUGGGUUCCAUCCCUGACCUUGCUCAGUGGGCUAAGGAUCUGGCUUUGCCGUGAGCUGUGGUGUAGAUUGCAGACACGGCUCGUAUCCCCCGUUGCUGUGGCUCUGGUGUAGGCUAGCGGCUACAGCUCCGAUUAGACCCCUAGCCUGGGAACCUCCAUAUGCUGCCGAAGCAGCCCUAGAAAAAAGGCAAAAAGACAAACAAACAAAAAAGAAUGGACCCUAAUAUAAGUUAUGAGCUUUACUUAGUAAUAAUGUAUCACUAUAGGUUCAUCAUUUGUAACAAAUGUACCACAGGAGUGAAAGAUGUUAAUAAUAGGGGAAAUUGUGUCCCCAAAGAAUUUAGGGUGAAAGGGUGGGAAUGGAGAGAGGGGCUAUAUGGAAACUUUCUUUUUACUUUCUCCUCAUAUUUUGAACACCUAAGCCUUCUCUAAAAAAUAGUCUAUUAAUAAUAAAACUCAAUUCAUCAUGUUUUAAAAAAUUGGAUGUUAUUCUUUAAGAAACUUUUCAAAACUCCAUACCUAGAAACAAAGCCACUGAUAAAUUUAUUUAGUUUUUCCUUUUUUUUAAUUUUAGGGGCCCACACACAGCAUAUGGAAGUUCCCAGGCUAGGGGAAGAAUUAGAGCUGCAGCCAUCAGCCUAUACCACAACAGUGUCAGAUCCUACCUGCUUCUGCAACCCUCACUGCAGCUUAUGGCAACAGUGGGUCUUUAACCCACUGAUCUGGGCCAAGAAUCAAACCAGUAUCCUCAUGUGUAACUACUCAGGUUCAUUACUGUUGAGCUACAAUGGGAACUUCCAUUUUGCACUAAAUGUAAUUAUUAACCUAGGAAGAGACUAGCAUAGACUAACCAUUCCUUAAUUAAAGCUAUUUUACUUUGUAUGAUUUGUCAAAAUGAUAUCCAAGAGAAAAGGAAUAACAUUCAAAACAUCAUCAAUAAGCACCAUGAUCAAAAGAUUUUGUAUCCUGAGAUAUAAAAGUCAUUUAAAUAUCUUGGUGACAUUGUUUUGUAAUACAAGUAAUUUUUUGGAAUUCAGGAAGAUUUGGACAGAAUUCUGCUGUUGUUAAAAAUACAAAGUUAUCUUGUAUUAUAUUUUCAGGAGUAUACUGUCUUCAUAUGUGAAAAGAGUAGCUUGUGUUAUCUACAGGGUCUUAUUCAUCUUUCCAUUCUAUUGCUGUGUGAUUAUACAAUUGUACUUCCUAAUGAGGAGCUUGUGACUGUGUGUGCUGAAACAGUUCAUGCAAAUGAAUUCUUAAGAAUCAGAGGCCCUGUUUUCAUGCAAAUAAACCAAGUCAUGAACAAUAGAGUAGAGCAAAAUUAGGAGCGAUAUUAAUUUGCCAACUGUUUAACUUCAUUUCUGAGAAUUUCUCUAAAUAUGAAAAGAAAAUUUGAAGGCAUGAAAAAAUAACAGUUGUUAUCCUGACUGACAAGUCAUUUUCAUUACCCAAAUAUGAAUUUCAGUAUUUAUGAGCAUAUGGAAAUUUCUGAGAUAAUAUGAUAAAUGGGUAAUUUUAUCAGACCACAUAGAAAAGAAGAUUUGGAAUAAUUAAUUUAGGUGAUUAUUUUGAAAGCUUAUCAAUUAACUGGAGCUAUGCUUGUUCCUUUGUUAGAAGAUCAUUGGUGAAGUAUAGACCCCAAGGUCUUUUAAAAAUUGUUUUUCAUCUUUUUCAUUUGUUGUGCAAUUUAUGAAAUAGAAUUAUUUCCUUUUAGGUAUGAUUAUACAAAAACUAGUUUUCAAACUUUCUAUUGUAUUUUCAACUCUGUUCAUCUUUAACACUAAUACUUAAGAUCAUAUAGCUGAUCCGAGAGGCCAAGGUCAACACACCAUUAUAAAUAAUUAAAAUAUUUUAAAAUCUGUAACAUAUUAAAAUUAUCUAUUCUAUAUUUCUUAAUAAUUAAUUUUCAAUUUUAUAUUAUCAAAUGUUAACACUAAGACCAUUGAUAACCACUUUUCCUUUUAAAUUCAUUUUGAUUAUUCUAUGGUGCAUAUAUUUUGGUUUUGGAUUACUUCAAAAGUUCAUUUAAGAUAAAAAUAGUUAUAUUCUUCAUAAUGCUAUGAGGGUAUAAGUAUUCUAAGUGUUUCAUUUUAAGAUUUUUGUUUUAUUACUUAGAGGUCUUUGCAAAAUGAAGGACAGAUAAAGUAAGUCAGUUUCAUAGGAGACUGAUUAAUGAAGCACAUGCCUGUUUUUCAGUGUGCAGUGGGCCAUAUUGCCCAAUUAAUUUUGAGUGGAUCAUAAGAAAUUCUGUCCUAGUGGGCUUGAGUAUAUCUACUCAGAAAAACAAAUGAUAGAUUACAUUGUUAUAUGGAGAGCACUGAAUUGGAACAAAGGGAAUUUAAUAUUCUUUAAGAAAUAUUUCUAUCAUGCUGUAAUACCAAAAUGAAUUUCCCUUAUGCCCUCUAGGGAAUUUCCUGUCUGAAUACUUGGGACAAAUCAUGCAGAAUCCAAUUAUUUCUCUUUUGAAGGAUGCUAGGAAUACGCAGAUAAAUUUUCACUAUCUAGCCCUGUUUGCAGUAUUCUUUCAAUGCAAAGAAAAUUUCUGCCAUUAAAAAAAAAAAAAUCUAUUGCAGGUUACAGCGAUUUAGAUUGCAUAUGUUUUACCUAAAUCAUGGAGUGGUAUCUCUUUGAAACUGCAUUGGGAUAGAUCUGAGGAGUCCUGGUGAUUUGGAGAAAAUAAUUUAGCUUCAUGAACUUUAUUAUAUUAAGUUCUCAUGUACAUUUCCUUUUAAAGUAUCUACAGAUGAGUAAUAGAUUUUUUCUUCCAUUUUUAUCUAUUUCCAAGUUAUUAUUUCAUGAUCUUAUCCCUAAAAUCUGGAGUAUUCCUCUUUGCAGACAUUUGCCAUUUUUCAGCAAACACAAAUCUUAUGCCAGUCCUUGGUGAUCUCUCUUGCCUCAGUCAGCCACUUAUGGUUUAUAUCACUCAGUUGGCCCUGGAUCAUGCCAUUAGUCAUUUUGUGCAGUUUUCUUUCCUUGAAUCAUCAGGGUGUUUUAAACUAUUCGAUAGCAGGGUUCAUGCUGACAUUGAAUUCAGAGGAGAGAGAAUGUCAUGGAUAAGGAUAAUGAAGAAAGAUUUCACAUAUAAGUCUGUACUUAAACUAGAUCUUAGGAAAUUUAUGUAGGCAGAAAGGAAGAAAGAAGUUAACCUGGCUGCUGGAAUGAAUGCAACAAAGACGCAAAAAUGGUGACAAGGAUGUGGGGAUAUCACUGUUGUUUAACCAGCUUAUGAGCAUAUGUAGGUUUCAACUAAAAUGAUGGUAUCAGUAAUGGAAAAAAAGAGAUUUAUGCAAAAUUGAAUUUGUAGGAAGAAUCUUUAAAUUCUCAUAGGAGGGUUUGUAUCACCUACCAUCCAUGAUAUAGUUCAGCUCUCAGAUUUGGCAUCCCAUGGUUUUGGCAACUCAUCAAAUACUAGCAGUAUUGUCAAAACAAGACACAAAUCAAGUAAAACAAAUUCAAAGGAUAUUGACUCAUCAAACAGAAUCCUUGCUUAUUAGUCUAAUGAUAAGUCACUAGGUUUAAGCAAUAUAACCCUAUUCACUAGAGUGAAUCAUAAGAAACUCGUUCUAGAGUUGAAAACAAAUGAUAAACAUUAUAUUAAUUUAACUUUAUAUUGUGACUUUACUGUGUGCUUCAUAAUCUCAGAUCUAAAAACAAAUUAAUUUUUGGAUUUGCUUUAAUGCACAAAUUUAUGUAUAUACUUGCAUUUAAAAUAUUAUUCCUAAGAGAGUAGGGAAAUUUGCAACAGAAGAAUUGGAUAGUUUUCAUCAAGGUUUAUUUCACCAAGAAAUAAUACUUGAUUCCUGAUUAAACUUGGCUGAACACUCAAUAUUUGAAAUCAAGGUGAUCAUUUUUGAAAGAUAACCCUAUAAUAUUAAAUAGAGCUUAGAGCUAGAAAUACUGGCAGCCCUCUGAUUUGUUUUACUAGGCAUGCUCUUGGUCAUGGGUUUCUCUUGCAGUCAGCAGUGCUCAUAGGCAACACAUGUGAAUGCCUUGCUGAGGAUUUUCCUCACUUACAUAGGUUUUCUUUAUCAGGUACUUCAAACGACUUCUAACCUAAAUGUAGCAUUUCUAGUUUUAUUUUUCCAUAAAUAAAAAUCUCUGGGAAUUUCAUUCUUCGUUUUUGUUCUAUCCGUUGAAGUCUUAAUCAAAUUGCUUUUGAGGAAAACAGUAUCCUUACUGAUGAAUAAAUCCAUGGGUUUUGUCUCUCUAGAAAUGAGACGGAUAUAUACACACAUACACAUGUAUUAGGUUUUUGAAUAUUAAGAGAUGUUUAUUAUUUCAAACCGUAUAUUAGACUAUAAAAGCAACUUACUCUAGCAAUAUGCUAUAACUCUAUUCUCUGUAUUAGUUAGAGUGUAUAAUUUUUAAUUUACAUUUUAACCAUUACCUAAAUGUUCAGCUAAAGAAAACUAAUGCCUGCUGUUAAUUAUACCAGGACCCCUGCUUUAUGUGGCUCUUAGAUAAAUAUAUAUUAAGAGAUUUUUUUUCUAUCAGUAUUUUAGGAGAUUUUAGCAAACAUUGCUUUCCAAAAUUAUUUCAGGAGACGGACAUUAAAACCCCUUAAACUCAUUUGGAAAAUAUAUAUUUUAACUAAGUGUUUAAGACAACACUACUGCUCGCAUACCAAGCAUCGAUUAUUCCCAUUUUUAAUUUUUUCUACUACAACUUCCUAUCCUCCCACAUUAAUAUGAAUAGAAUAGGAUAGCAGAGGAGUUUCCUGGUGGCGUAGUGUUUAAGGAUCCAGUGUUGUCACUCUGUGGCUCAGGUCACUGCUGUAGCUUGGGGAUGAUCCCUGACCUGGGAACUUCUGUAUAUAAUGG